UACGAAGGGGGCUAGCGUUGUUCGGAAUUACUGGGCGUAAAGCGCACGUAGGCGGUGUUCUUUGUCAGAGGUGAAAGCCCGGGGCUCAACUCCGGAAUUGCCUUUGAAACGGGAACGCUAGAGUCCGAGAGAGGAUGGCGGAAUUCCUAGUGUAGAGGUGAAAUUCGUAGAUAUCAGGAGGAACACCAAUGGCGAAGGCAGCUCGCUGGGACGGUACUGACGCUGAGACGCGAAAGCGUGGGGAGCAAACAGG
rnacentral:rRNA from 1 species